GCAUCUGCUAAAUGAAUAAAUGUAAAUAUAAGUGGAAUUUCCUGCAAAAUAUUAAGCAUUGCUGCAAAAGCUUUCCACUAAGCAAUGGCACAGCAAAAAUAAACAAACAAACAAAUAAAUAAAUAAAUAAAAGGUAGAAAUAUGACACUUGAGAAUGCAAAGAUCGCAGCAUCUCACAUAAAACAGGAAGUUCCAUCAUGGCUUUAUGUUUGAAAUGCAGAGACUCACAGUAACACAGAUCUACAGCUCAGAACACAGACAGCAUCAACACAGAACUAAUCUGAAUUAGUAAACAUGGAAAGAUACCUGCUCCUGAUUUUAAUUGUGACUCCAGGUGUGAUGACUGCAGACCGUAUAAAACCAAAUAUAGGAACAAAUAUCAUUAAGACAGAAGAUGAUAAAGUAACACUGAGCUGCUCAUAUGAAACAAGCAGCAGUUCUAUUACACUUUACUGGUACAGACAGUAUCCUAAUACAGAACCUCAGUAUUUAAUUUGGAAAGAUGCUCGGUCAUCGAGUGAUACUGGGACCCCCUCUGAUCCUCGGUUUCAGUCGACUACAUCACAAACAUCCACUGAACUCAUUAUUAAUGAUGUAACUCUGUCAGAUUCAGCUCUUUAUUACUGUGCUCUAAGAGUCGGAGCCCAGUGAUACAAAGUCUAUGUGAAGCUGUACAAAAACUGAUAUUGAUUUUUCACUUUGAUCUCAAUCCACAUCAAACCCACAAUCUAUAUUCAGAUAAUACGAUAACACUUGCAGCAACACCUGUGUGUGGUUAAAAAUGAAAUGAGUUUUUAGUUCUAAAGGGUAAUGAAGGAAAAGUGAAAAUAUAAUAUAAUGUAAAAUGGUAUUCAUCCCUGAAGCACAUAAGUUUAUGUACCUUAUGAUACCCUCAUUUCUAGGUCACUAAUAAAAUUUAAGCAAAUUUGUGACAUUGGCCAUGUUAACCCUUUAGACAAAAUGGUCAGAUUUUUCAUUUGCUUCCAUUAAGGCAUACAAGAUGCUUUUUAAAACAUUCUCAAAUCAUUCUGAGAUAACAUGAGUCUUCAGGUUUUGAACAACUUUAGGAGUCCAUGCCAGCUAGAGUGCAUACAUGUCAUUAAAGGGGGACAUACCAAAUACUAGAAAUUCUGAAAUUCAUGUUCAUUUUUCAACCUUUUACUCAAAUUAAUAUGCUGAUAAUCUUAAUUCUAAUGAAAAUACUGUA